rnacentral:rRNA from 1 species
GAUGAACGCUAGCGGCAGGCUUAACACAUGCAAGUCGAGGGGUAGAGGCUUUCGGGCCUUGAGACCGGCGCACGGGUGCGUAACGCGUAUGCAAUCUGCCUUUCACAGAGGGAUAGCCCAGAGAAAUUUGGAUUAAUACCUCAUAGCAUUACAGAGUGGCAUCACUUUGUAAUUAAAGUCACAACGGUGAAAGAUGAGCAUGCGUCCCAUUAGCUAGUUGGUAAGGUAACGGCUUACCAAGGCAACGAUGGGUAGGGGUCCUGAGAGGGAGAACCCGCACAAUGGAACUGAGACACGGACCAGAAUCGUACGGGAGGCAGCAGUGAGGAAUAUUAGUCAAGGGGCGCAAGCCUGAACCAGCCAUGCCGCGUGCAGGAUGACGGUCCUAUGGAUUGUAAACUGCUUUUGUACGGGAAGAAACACUCCUACGUGUAGGAGCUUGACGGUACCGUAAGAAUAAGGAUCGGCUAACUCCGUGCCAGCCGCCGCGGUAAGAC